UCAUCGUCUGAAGAGAUUCCACUCAAUCAGC
rnacentral:piRNA from 1 species